GAUGAACGCUGGCGGCGUGCCUAAUACAUGCAAGUCGAGCGAACAGACGAGGAGCUUGCUCCUCUGACGUUAGCCGCGCACGGGUGAGUAACACGUGGAUAACCUACCUAUAAGACUGGGAUAACUUCGGGAAACCGGAGCUAAUACCGGAUAAUAUAUUGAACCGAAUGGUUCAAUAUUGAAAGACGGUUUUGCUGUCACUUAUAGAUGGAUCCGCGCCGCAUUAGCUAGUUGGUAAGGUAACGGAUUACCAAGGCAACGAUGCGUAGCCGACCUGAGAGGGUGAUCGGCCACACUGGAACGGAGACACGGUCCAGACUCCUACGGGAGGCAGCAGUAGGGAAUCUUACGCAAUGGGCGAAAGCCUGACGGAGCAACGCCGCGUGAGUGAUGAAGUUCUUCGGAUCGUAAAACUCUGUUAUUAGGUAAGAACAAAUGUGUAAGUAACUAUGCACGUCUUGACGGUACCUAAUCAGAAAGCCACGGCUAACUACGUG
rnacentral:rRNA from 1 species